UACAGAGGGUGCGAGCGUUAAUCGGAAUUACUGGGCGUAAAGGGCGCGUAGGUGGUUGUGUAAGAUGGAUGUGAAAUCCCUGGGCUUAACCUAGGAACUGCAUCGAUGACUGCAUAGCUGGAGUACUGUAGAGGGUAGUGGAAUUUCCGGUGUAGCGGUGAAAUGCGUAGAGAUCGGAAGGAACAUCGGUGGCGAAGGCGGCUACCUGGACAGAUACUGACACUGAGGCGCGAGAGCGUGGGUAGCAAACAGG
rnacentral:rRNA from 1 species